rnacentral:rRNA from 1 species
GAUGAACGCUGGCGGCGUGCCUAAUACAUGCAAGUCGAGCGAACAGACGAGGAGCUUGCUCCUUCGACGUUAGCGGCGGACGGGUGAGUAACACGUAGGUAACCUACCUAUAAGACUGGGAUAACUUCGGGAAACCGGAGCUAAUACCGGAUAAUAUUUCGAACCGCAUGGUUCGAUAGUGAAAGAUGGCUUUGCUAUCACUUAUAGAUGGACCUGCGCCGUAUUAGCUAGUUGGUAAGGUAACGGCUUACCAAGGCAACGAUACGUAGCCGACCUGAGAGGGUGAUCGGCCACACUGGAACUGAGACACGGUCCAGACUCCUACGGGAGGCAGCAGUAGGGAAUCUUCCGCAAUGGGCGAAAGCCUGACGGAGCAACGCCGCGUGAGUGAUGAAGGUCUUCGGAUCGUAAAACUCUGUUAUUAGGGAAGAACGAACGUGUAAGUAACUGUGCACGUCUUGACGGUACCUAAUCAGAAAGCCACGGCUAACUACGUG